GGGCGAUUAGCUCAGCGGGAGAGCAUCACCUCGACACGGUGGGGGCCACUGGUUCGAUCCCAGUAUCGCCCA
rnacentral:tRNA from 1 species